GCGGGAAUGGCGGAAUUGGCAGACGCGCUAGAUUCAGGUUCUAGUGAGGGCUAACUUCAUGCAGGUUCAAGUCCUGUUUCCCGCACCA
rnacentral:tRNA from 7 species